AUACGUAGGGUGCAAGCGUUAAUCGGAAUUACUGGGCGUAAAGCGUGCGCAGGCGGUUAUGCAAGACAGAUGUGAAAUCCCCGGGCUCAACCUGGGAACUGCAUUUGUGACUGCAUAGCUAGAGUACGGUAGAGGGGGAUGGAGUUCCGCGUGUAGCAGUGAAAUGCGUAGAUAUGCGGAGGAACACCGAUGGCGAAGGCAAUCCCCUGGACCUGUACCGACGCUCAUGCACGAAAGCGUGGGGAGC
rnacentral:rRNA from 1 species